UGUAGAUCAGGGUGGCCUGCUUCUGCCUCCCAAGCGCUGGGAUUAAAGGUGUGCACCACUACUGCUCUGCUGAAAAGAUAGUUAACUCCAGUCUGAACAACAGUUUCAAAUUAAAUUAGUUUGAUUUGAAUUAAUUUUCUUGUAAGUCUGCUCAGUUUUCAUUUCCAAGGGAAAGUCUUUUUAGUAAGUGUAGACUACUGAAGUGGCGAUACACAGCCUAUGACUUAGUGUUCAUUAAAGCCAAUUUCAACUACUUCUAUUAAUUAAAAUAUAUUGAAUACCAUAUAACUAAAUGGACUCAGUGGGUGCUAACUUUGAUUAGUAUCUUGAGGCUGAAUAUGACUAUAUUAUAUAUAUAUAUAUAUAUUGUGUGUGUUGUCAUUGUGAAAGAGACUGCAGAGAGGAUAAAUGUGUAUAUAUUAUAUUGCCUUAAACGAUUACUUGGACACCAGUCAUUAUUUCAAUGUUGCUAUGAUUUUUUAAAGUUAUAGGGUAGUGUCCCUUUGACAUUGUUACAGUAUCUGGAAACCGUGUGUGUGUGUAUUUUCUUUUGAGCUUAGGUUUUUUGUUUUUUGUUUUUAAUCUUACGUCUUCACCAUUUGAGGGAGUUAGUGAUGAAAUUUGUUGAUUACCCUACUUGAAUAAAAAUGAAGAUUGAGAAGCUGGAGGUAGCCCAGUGGCAGAGUACAUGUUAAUAAUGCGUGAAGCCCUGAAUUCAAUCCCCAUCACCAAAAAGAAAAAGAAGAAUGAAGACCUAUUUCCCCAAUAUAAUAUAUAUUAACUGAUGCUGACUAUGUGGGACACAAAUUAUUGUAUGGUGGGUUUAGAUUUAAGAACCUCAAAUGUUAGGAAAUUAACUAUUGUUUCUUUUUGUUCCUUUGAGGUUUUAUACUUUUGUAUCGGUGAAGAUGAUUGAUAUUUUAUUAAGAUAAUCAGUCUGCUAAUCCUAUGUGAAAAUAUCAUUUCUACUUACUAUCUUUUCUAGGGUUGCUGAAUUGCCUAAGCGGCUAAGAAAGUAAUUAUAGUUCUUACAAUUCAAAUCAGAAAUAGGGUAUCUGUUUAGAGUUACUUUUCCCUUACUUGCUAGCUGUUUAAUAUCUGGAGAAGUAGCAAAAUUUAUAGCCCAUUUUUUUAAAUGAAAAUGAGAUAAAAAUUUCAUGAGAAUUUAAUUAAAAGUUAAAAUUGCCUGUAAGGAUUGUCUAGUAAUUGAGAUGUAAAGGUUAUCACAUUUAAAUACUUACACUCCCUUUUAGGGCAACCAAAAUUUCCAGCACACUUUACACAUUGAAUGCAUUAUUGAUUGAACAUUAAAGCAUCUAAGAGGUACUUGAGUGUCCUAGCGAAUUAUCACUGAAUUGCAGUAGCCAAUGUAAAGCAAAUUUUGUUAGAUUUAGGCAAACUACUAUCAGGCUCUGAGGAAAUUAAAUGCACAUUGACUUUAUAGUAUGGGUUGAACUCCUCAGUUUAAUACAAUUUGUGUUUUUGUUAACUAGCAGCAGAAUUUCAGCAUUUGCUACUUACUGGUAGAGAAGAAAAAUCCCACAGCCCUGCCAGUACAGUUUAAUCUAAGAAUGGCGUAGAUACAAUGGAAAUGGUUUUCCGUAUCUGUUUAGAGCUGCCUUUCUGGUGAGUACUGCUUUAUAAUUUUCAUAUCAUGGUUUGAUUUUUUUUUUUUUUUAGCCUAGCUGUAAUGUAAUGUGGCAGUGAUCAAAGAGGUGAGAAGCCAGAAUUUUCACAGCUUGGGUAGUAAUUAGAUCUUUAGGCUGUUACUUCUUCAUAAGGGUUUUUUCUCUCUCUCACACACAUAUACACGUUUUCCUAAAGGACCCUAUGCACGAAAAAGUUGAAAACAUAUUCUUUUGGUGAGAAGAAAUGAUUGUAUUAUUUAAAAUUAGUAAUUGAAAUCUAGGGACAGGAGAGAUGCCUCAACAAUUAAGACCAUGUCAUAACCUCAGGUGUGGUGUAUGCCUUUAAUCCUAGCACUCAAGAGGGACAGGCAAGUGGAUUUCUGGGAGUUCCAGGAAGCAUGGUCUACAUAGUGAGUUCAAGGAUAGCAAGGGCUAUAUAGAAAAAUCUUGUCUCAAAAAGAAAAAAGAAGAAAACCACAACAUGCUGCGAGUGUACUUAUGUUUGGUUCCCAUUAUCCAUGUCAGGUAACUAAAACCAUGUAGGUCCAUGAGGAUCUUGGACAUAAUGUGCUCAUAUGCAGAUACACAUAUGAAUAAGAAAUACAGUUUUAAAUAAAGAUUCCCCACCCUCUUUUAAGUUGACAUAAAACUUGUUCAGUGAUCCUUUUUUCUCACUGCAUAGGUGAAUGAAAUAAUGAAGGCAUAUUCUGUUCCAUGCAUGGAAAACUUGUGUAAAAAAUAUUGUUAGCAUCUUUGUGAAAAUUAGCCCACAAUACGUUUAUUCCUGUCUAGUUCAGUCAUUAGCCUGUGACAUAAGGAUUUCUUUCCCUCAUUUUUAGCCACAUUCUGGAUAAUACUAGUAUUCAUGUCUACAUUCCAUUUCUGCUAUGACCUUUGUGAAUCAAUAAAGUCAAUUCUGUUGGUUUUAGUAUAAAUAAUACUAGUUUUCUAAAAUCUGGAAUUCAUAAUUUGAGUGUGUAUGGUAAUUUAUUCUAGAUAAGAUCUCAACAAAUCUUGAGUCUGAAUUUGUGUCUUUAAGAUUUAAAGUGAAAUAAAUUUCUAAGGAACUCUGUCCUUUCCUAGCAUGGAUAAGCAGACUGACAGUUGGUAAGUAUGUAAUUUCAAAUGCAUAUAGUGGUAAGGGUGAGUUGCCUUCAAAGACAAUUCGAAGUGAAGUGAAAUUCCUGAAUCCUUCUAGGAACUUGAUAUGUAUGUCUAACAUUUUCUCCAAAAAUGUGUACUCAAAAUGAUUAAACUGAAAUGUACCUUA